rnacentral:rRNA from 1 species
UACGAAGGGGGGCUAGCGUUGUUCGGAAUUACUGGGCGUAAAGGGCGCGUAGGCUGUGCUGUAAGUCAGGCGUGAAAGCCCCGGGCUCAACCUGGGAAUUGCGCUUGAUACUGCGGCGCUGGAAGGUGGGAGAGGAUGGCGGAAUUCCCAGUGUAGAGGUGAAAUUCGUAGAUAUUGGGAAGAACACCGGUGGCGAAGGCGGCUACCUGGACAGAGUCUGACGCUGAGGCACGAAAGCUAGGGGAGCAAACAGG